GACGAACGCUGGCGGCGUGCCUAAUACAUGCAAGUAGAACGCUGAAGGCGGAGCUUGCUUCUCUGGAUGAGUUGCGAACGGGUGAGUAACGCGUAGGUAACCUGCCUGUUAGCGGGGGAUAACUUUUGGAAACGAUAGCUAAUACCGCAUAAUAGUAGAUGUCGCAUGACAUUUGCUUAAAAGGUGCAAUUGCAUCACAACCACAUGCACCUGCGUUGUAUUAGCUAGUUGGUGAGGUAACGGCUCACCAAGGCAACGAUACAUAGCCGCCCUGAGAGGGGGAUCGGCCACACUGGGACUGAGACACGGCCCAGCCUCCUACGGGAAGCAGCAGUAGGCAUUCUUCGGCAAUGGACGGAAGUCUGACCAAGCCACGCCGCGUGAGGGAAGAGGGUUGUCGGAUCGGAAAGCUCGGUUGUAAGAGAAGAACGAGUGUGAGAGUGGAAAGUUCACACUGUGACGGUAUCUUACCAGAAAGGGACGGCUAACUACGUG
rnacentral:rRNA from 1 species